UACGGGGGGAGCAAGCGUUGUUCGGAUUUACUGGGCGUAAAGGGCGCGUAGGCGGCCACCGCAAGUCAGUUGUGAAAGCUCUGGGCUUAACCCAGAAAGGUCAACUGAUACUGCGGGGCUAGAGUGCAGAAGGGGCAACUGGAAUUCUCGGUGUAGCGGUGAAAUGCGUAGAUAUCGAGAGGAACAUCAGUGGCGAAGGCGACCGCCUGGCCCAACACUGACGCUGAGGUGCGAAAGCGUGGGUAGCAAACAGG
rnacentral:rRNA from 1 species